rnacentral:rRNA from 1 species
AUGCGCAAGAAGGCUGCUGGCACCGGCGAGGAUCCCUUCCGCGUCCUCCCCGACGACCUGCUCGAGCAUAUCCUAUCCUUCCUGCCGGAGGAUGAUGCCCUGCAGACCUGCGUGCUCGACACCCAGUGGCGCGACCUCUGGAGGCGCAAAACCAGCCUGCACUUCAUGUUUGAGGACUGGUCAAGUUUCAGCCGCGAGCGUUUCACUCAGUUGGUGAAGCUGAUAAUCCAACUCAGGGGGGAGGCAUCUCUGACCGACUGCCAGAUUGAUCCCUGCAGUGGCGAGUACUAUAUCAAUUUCACCGAAGCCGAGCCGUUGAUUGAGUACGUUCUAAAGUGCCGGGUUGAGAAGCUCUCUAUUUGUGCUGGUGACAUUUGGUACGAAGGCAUACUACUGGAUGAGCGUUUCAUCUCCCGCCACUUGAGGACCAUAGAAUUUGGAGGAGUUGACCUCCUGGGUUACUCACUAGAUUUCUCGGCCUGCCCAGCAUUAGAGGAACUAAAAAUAAAAGGUUGCAACAUUGACCCAUGGGCAAUAUGUUCUGAAUCACUAAAGCAUCUGUGGAUCGGGGAUUGUGUCCUUUCUGAGGAAAUCCACAUUCCUAUUGCUGCCCCGCGCCUUAUUUCACUGGAACUAAGUAGUUUUCAGUGCUUGACUCCUUCCCUUGAAGCGAUUCCAUUACUGGAAAAAGCAUCUAUUUUGCUUGCGAGUUGGUGCUACGAUGUCUGUCAAAGUGUCGAGGAGGAUUUUAGUAAGAGAAAAGUAAGAGUUGAAUGCGGAUGUGCUAACGAGAAGUGUCUGCUUCUCAACGGAUUGUCCAAUGCUGUUGAAUUGAAAUUGAUUGCGGUGCCAAAAUUGCUUAUCUUCAAACGGGAUUUGGAAUGGUGCCCUAAAUUUGACAGAUUAAAGACUCUCACGCUCAAUGAGUGGUUUACGGCUACUGACCUAUUUUGCAUUCUCAAAAACUCUCCAAUCCUUGAGAAGCUCAAUCUUCAGCUUGGCAACACUAAGAAUUUUGUAGGAGCAACGGGAUCCAAACAAUCGUUCGCGUGUGCGUCCAUUUUGGCUGUCAACAUUGAAUGCAGAAGAGUUGAUGAGGGCGUUCGCAAAAUUUUGGAGGUCUUGAGUACAUGUGGCAUACUUCGUGAGCAGAUUAGCCUCAAGUGCCGAGAUCGCACUUAG